GGGGAUUUAGCUCAGCGGCAUAAGCGCCUGCCUUGCAAGCAGGUGUUGUGAGUUCAAUCCCUG
rfam:Cavia porcellus supercont2_317 genomic scaffold, whole genome shotgun sequence.